rnacentral:rRNA from 1 species
GGCGGCUCGAGUGGUGGCCACUAUUACUGGGCUUAAAGCGUUCGUAGCUGGUUUGUUAAGUCUCUGGGGAAAUCUUCCGGCUUAACCGGAAGGCGUCUCAGGGAUACUGGCAGACUAGGGACCGGGAGAGGUGAGGGGUACUCCAGGGGUAGGAGUGAAAUCCUGUAAUCCUUGGGGGACCACCUGUGGCGAAGGCGCCUCACCAGAACGGCUCCGACAGUGAGGGACGAAAGCUGGGGGAGCAAACCG